rnacentral:misc_RNA from 1 species
UUUCUUUAUUAUAGUAUUACAUACGUUGACCAGUGUUAAAAAUUAUAGCUGCGAGUGGUGGGUACCAUUUCGACAGCAUACAGUAGUGCACAGUGUUUGGUAGUGGGGGUUCGGACUCUACAGAGUAGACGUCCUAUUAAUCACUAAUGAUCCUUCCGCAGGUUCACCUACGGAAA